GUGAGGCGUAUUCAAAUGACUUCCACAGAGCCGGGAAAACCGACCAAUCGGCGCAAGCGGGCGGGUUCCUCCAGGGAUCGCGCUGACCAAUAGCAGCAGAGGACUGGGGAAAUCGAAAUCUUCCUGGACGCUGAUUGGCUCACGGUGUCCAUCCGUCGAGUUCUUUCUGCGCGGCCGCUGCCAGAAGGAGCGACUGUUAUUGUUAGAGCUGAGAUGGAGAAGGUGUAUGGUUUCCUCCCGGAAUGCGCCUCCGAACGUGUGUGGAGGCUGCUCCGACCACCUUCAAACAAAACGUUCGCUCUUAAUGAUCAGGUGCCUUUAAAUCAACUUAGCAGAGAUGUAUGUUCUUUUAAAACAUAUGUCAUUGAAUGAAGGUCCAGAGAACUAACUAACUACUUCAACUAAAGUGCUAAAGUGAUCCAUCCUCCUGUUAAACCUCGUGACCUUUGACUCGUGUUCCUACAAGACUAAAAUGGGAGGAAAAAGCAUCGUCUUCACCCACGACAGCAGCAGCCGUGAAACAACAGGAGCUGCUCCGGCAUGAGUCAGACUGGCACACAGCUGAUCUGUGGACGUGCCAACCUUCAGAGCAUAUAACAUGUUGGUUGUCGCAGCUAAUUCCUCAUUUUGACUUUUGUGUAGAGAAACAAAAAAGGCUGCAGGUGUUGAUUGCAUAAUUAGUACGUCAGUCGUCAUCUGCUUGUGACUCCCCUGCUGUCCGGAACAAAUAUGAGCACACACAAAGUCGAGCAUGUGACAGGAUUUGCUGUCUGUAAUAAACAACUCGUCCCUUUUACUCAUAACCCCUUGUUUUAUUGUUUACUGUAUUUGACGUAACAUAAUUUUUCCUCCCUGGGAAAAUCAUUAAUGUUGUCAUCGACCUGAGUAAGAAUUAGCUUUAAGUGACUCAGUGUUUAAACCUAAUAAUAACCAGCGAUCAAUACUGUACAUUUGUAACUUCUACUCUGAGUGGAGUGAAAAAGACACCAACCUUCCA